GCGCCGGUAGUAUAGCGGUAGUACGCGGCCUUGCCAAGGCUGUAACCCGGGUUCGAUUCCCGGUCGGCGCA
rnacentral:tRNA from 1 species